GCUCCGUAGUUCAAUGGAUAGAACAAUUCCCUGCUACGGUUUUAAUCUCGGUUCGAAUCCGAGCGGGAGCU
rnacentral:tRNA from 1 species